CGUAGGGUCCAAGCGUUAUCCGGAAUCACUGGGCGUAAAGCGUGCGUAGGCGGGAGUUUAAGUGAGAUGUUAAAUCGUGUGGCUCAACCAUAUCGAUGCAUCUCAUACUGGACACCUAGAGGAAGGCAGAGGCAAGUGGAAUUUGUAGUGUAGCAGUGAAAUGCGUAGAUAUUACAAGGAACACCAAUGGCGAAGGCAGCUUGCUGGGUCUUUUCUGACGCUGAGGUACGAAAGCGUGGGGAGCGAACAGGAUUAGAUACCCUGGUAGUCCACGCCGUAAACGAUGCAUACUAGUCUUAUGGGGUAUCGACCCCCUGUGAGACGAAGCUAACGCGAUAAGUAUGCCGCCUGGGAAGUACGGCCGCAAGGCUA
rnacentral:rRNA from 1 species